ensembl:lncRNA
AUGAAUUCCAUCUUGUUGGUUAUAGUUUCUCCAAAUUAUGUUUUAAAAUUAUCUUUGAUAUCUUUUUGAUUCUGAACCUCUUCUCUGAAAUGAUUGCAACCUUUCCAGAGUUAUCUUUGCACAAAAGUGAUGAGUUGUCUUUAUUCCCUCAUCUACACUGUUAAUGAUAGCAUCAAAAAGUAUGGAGUAUACUGAAAGUGUGCAGAGAUUUAGCCUUAAAGUAAGUAAAUAAUAAAUAAAUUGCUGUGCUUUUUUUUCUCUACUCGUUCCCUAGUUAAAAUGCAGUGUGUUGUCUGUGUUAGCCAUUAAUCUCUUUUUUUUGCUUAUCACUUGGAGUAUUCAAAGCAAGAGAAGAAUCUAGUGAUAACUCUCCACAACCUACAGGAAAGCGAUACCGACAUAUACGUAUGUGCUGCAAAGCUGAAAAAUUCCUCUCUCUUAGUCAGUGAAAGUGGCACCAUGGUGCUGGUUAAAGGUGGGAAGCAGACAGAAUGCAGUAUCAAUUCCUUGGCCAUCUCCAUUCCUACCAUUGUGGUAGGAGUGCUGCUAUUAUCUGCACUGAUAUUCUGCAUCCUGAACCGUGUCAAUAUGAAGAAAUUUUUCCGGAGAAAGAAAACAAAUGUAGUGUAUGAAGAUAUGUCUUUCAGUUCUAGAAGCAACACCUUAGUCAGAACUAACACUUACUCAAAUAACAGUUAAGCUGCUGUGAGCUGGGAUCACACGUGGAUCAACUGUUCCUCUUCAGGUGUCUCUGAGAGCUGCCUUAGGAACUUGAUGUAGUUGAACAAGAAAUGCUAUUACCUUCAUUUUUCCUCUGAAGGAAAAAUCUGCCUUGUUUCCAAAGCUGUUUUUACUUAUUUUGACUGCUUGUGGAAUACCUCUUACUUUUUCAUGUAUAGAAAAGAUGGAGACACAUAUAUUUGCACAUCUAUUUGCAGCACGGCGUGAAAAGCAUUAUUUUUGGAGUGUACAUUUGGCUAUAGGCAAUAUGUGAGAUUGUUUCUUAGACUGAUAGGUAACCGUUACGGGGAAGUUGUGAUGGUUUGAGAAGUCUGGUUCUGAGCUUUAGUAAAAGCUCAGGAAGAUCAUAAGAGGUUUGAUGAAUAAUAUGCAAUAGAUUCACUUAAAAUGGAGUAUGGCUUUCAUAAAUGUCCACGUGAGUCUGCUCAAAACUCUGGUAGCUAAAACUGCUCGCAAGUUAAAGAGAAUUCAGAAGAGAAUUCAGAAACUUGGGAACUGAGUACAUUGGGAGUGAAGGGCUGGGUAUGUACGGGUUUAGCUCUGCAAAAUGGUCCAGUAAAAUUGCAGUCAAUUGUAGCUAUUAAAUUAGUGACCUUGUUGGAGAUAUGGCACGGUUGGAGUCAGUCUUGACUUUGUUGACACGCAAAGUGAUUAGACUUGGUGCAUGAUGGCUUUGUAGGAAAGCAGAAAUAUGGGAUAUGCUGGUGUUGCCUCAAACUCAAGAUGCCUUAAAAAUGACACAGCAGAUUGUAAUUCUCCAGGCCGGUGACUUUAGAUGAUACAAUACAGGGUUAACUAAUCUGGGAUAAAAAUAAUGCCAACAUUCCAGCCUGGGCACAGCUGAGCCCGAUCCAAAAUCAUUCUUAAGGGAGAGUUUAGCAAAAAACUUUCAUCAGCUGCACAUUUUAGUUGGUAAUGGCUUAGAAACCUUAUUUAGGACGAUCACAGGUCUCCACAGCUGAGGAAAGGUAACAGUUGUCCUCGGGAGUGUUGGGUUUUGGGGAGCUGGGUCGACAGUGCAAAGAACAGUUUACAAUUUUGCAUGCCCAGAAGAAUAUCAAAUUGCCUAAUUAAGAGGCAGGAUUGCGAGGAGUGGCCUGUGGCAUCUGAAAACAGGCUAGAACUAGAGUCUUUCUUUACUGAUGCAUCUGUUUAUUUUUUGAAGGUCAAAAGUUGGUUUCCCAUUUAUAAGUGUGUUUAACUAGUGCUGAGCCAGGCACACGAGGUCUCCCAUGACAAGCCUGCUGCUUGGGAGAGGUCAUUUCCUUUAAACAUCACUCACGAAAUGCUGUGCCCCAGAUCUGAGGGGGAAAUCUGUUCAUCCAAGUGUCUGGUGGCUCUGGAUUUCCCUUUGAGCAGAGGAGUGUCUGUUGACUGCAGAUCCUGCAAUUGUCGUGUGGCUUCAUAUGGAUAAACUGAUGCUUCUGAUCUGCGCCCCGGGGGUUUUAAUUACACAGUUACCUGCUACUUUUGUACAUAUAAAGCAGUAAGGACUGCUUUAUGUAUUUUGCAAAUGAAUGCUAGGUAUUUAAUGGACUGUUUCGUGUAGAUUAUAAUUUAAAAUAAAGUGAAACAAAGACUUUUUUUUUCUUUUGCA